rnacentral:tRNA from 1 species
UCUAAUUUGUUCCCAUGCUUCGCUUACUGGCCAAAAGUAAUAAGGUGUAAGAGGAAAAUUACCUCCA